UUGGACUUCAGGGGUACUUGAAGGUUCAGCUGGGCCUCCGGUGGGCUUACAGAAUUUCCAGCUUCCUUAAGGAUCUCUGGAGGCUGAGAUAGAG
rnacentral:miRNA from 1 species